rnacentral:lncRNA from 1 species
CUUUUCCGUUUUCUCUGAUCUCGGUGGCAGGGAUUUUCAGCAAAUGCCCUAACCCUCUCUGUAGGGGGCUCACGUUCACCAUUUCCAGGGUGAGUUCAUCUCUGUGUAACUCGUCCUUACCUGGAGUGACUGGGUGUGUGAUCUAUUCUCACCAUUCCUGGGGUGAUCUCAUCGAUGUGUGAUGCAUCUUCACCAUUCCUGGAGUAACCUCAUCCAUGUGAGAUACAUCCUUAUCAUUUCUGGGGUAACCUCAUCUAUAUGUGAUCUACCCUCCAUUCCUGGGGUGACCUCAUCUGUGUGGCACACAAUGUGAUUAUAAAAAGACAAAGAGGCAUGACUUCCUCACCUCAUCUAUGUGUGAUCCAUCCUUGACAUUCCUGGGGUGACUGGGUGUGUGAAGGUCUAACUCCACCUCCACCCCACCCCCACUCCAGACCUCUUGGACCAGCCAGCCAUAUUAUCAGGGGACGUAAUUAAUGACAUUUGACCUUGCAUCCCAGUUGGAAAGCAUUCAUGCCUUACCUUCAUCCUUCAUCAAACAGCUCAAGCCAGUUGCUACUAGAGUUGAGGGUCCCUAGGGUGGAGUAGACAUCGUUCUCUUUUUAUGCUUUUAAAUAUUGGUAAGUGCCCUGAACUAGUCUUAGGUCAACUUGACACAAGCUAGAGUCAUCUGAAAGGAGGGAAUUUCUAUUGAGGAAAUGCCUCCAUGAGAUCCAGCUAUAGGGGAUUUCCUUAGUUAGUGAUCAGUGGGGGAGGGCCCAGCCCACUGUGUUCUAACCCUGGGCUGAUGGUCCUGAGUUCUAUAAGAAAGCAAGGUGAGCAAGCCAUGAUGAGCAAGCCAGCAAGCAGCACCCCUCCAUGGCCUCUGCAUCAGCUCCUGCCUCUGGGUUCCUGCCCUGUUUGAGUUCCUGUCCUGACUUUCUUCGAUGAUGAACAGUGAUGUGGAAGAUUCUUCAGCCAGGAAAAAAUAGCAGCGAAGGAGAGAGAGAGAAAUCCUUCCCUGGUGAGCUGGAUUCCUUGAAGUUGCAGACUAUGAAAAGCGGGAUGCAGUUGUUCAAGAUGUGAACUCCCAGCAUCCUGGUCCAUAUGCCUGCCUGCUUGCUGUCUCUUCCGUGCCUUUAUGGGUGCUAACCCUCUGGGACCACAAGACAACAUAACAACAAGACCGUCUUCCUUAAGAUGCCUUGGUCAUGGUGUGUCUUAUCGCAGCGGCAGAAAAGUACUGAAUACAAGGGACAACCCGACUGUGUGUUUGCGCCAAGCGAUCUCGUAGACACGGGCCAGUCUAUGGACUAACUGCCCUUGUGCAUCUAUACCUAUCACUGUCAGAGCACAGAAGAACGAGCCGCGGUGAACAGUGAAUGUCUUGGGGAACUGUGGGAAAGGCUCCAGGAGAAAAGGCAGAGGGCCUUUUAUCUCAGGGGUGUCUUGUUUCCUGGAUUGUUCUUGGACGUGAUUUUGUGCUUCCUGUGUUAAACAUUGACGUUCAAGCCGUAAGGCAUGUUUAUUCUUGUUGGAUGUCUGGACAUAGCUAUAGAACCCAAUCUGGUCAGUGUACCCUGAAUGUGGAUGUGGCCUUCUGCCUUGCUUUUGUGCUUUCCCAGGUAGAGUCUACAGUACUUUCCAGGUAAUUGUGUUUAAACUGGUCUGACCUGAGAAAGUUCUGGGAAAGAGCUGCCCUGUUAAUAGUAUGAGCUUACUGGUGCUAAUUUGCAUAUUUUUCUGAUCACUUUUUUUUUUUUCAAAACUCAAACAGCCUUCCUUGGAUCAUUCCUUUCUUUGUUACAUUGUGUAUAAAAGGACACAGAAACUGAAGUAAGGUUGUCUACAGCAUCACACUCUAGUCCGCCCGUUCUUUCAGGUCUUCAGCGUCAGGUCCAGCAGACAAGAUCUGCACAGGUUGAUGCAAACUGACACAGGAUUACCUCUCUUCUGUUUAUUUUGGUUUUAUUGUUUGAGAUCCAGUCUCCCGUGGUCCAGGCUGGCCUUGAACUAGAUAUACAGCUAAGAUGAUCCUCCUGCCUCCACCUCCCAAGAGCUGGGAUUGCAGGUGUGCGCCUCUAUUCCUGGUUUAUGCAGCACUGGGGCGUCAAUCCAGGACAACAUGCUUGCUAGGCAACAUGCAUGCUAGGCAAGAACUAUACCGACUGAGCUACACCCCAGCCCUCUGUAUCCAUUUUUUUUAAAAAACCAUCUGGAGAAACAAGUUGGGGGAAUAAAUUACAUAGGAAUUUGG